rnacentral:rRNA from 1 species
GUCUACGGCCAUGCCACCCUGAACAUGCCCGAUCUCGUCUGAUCUCGGAAGCUAAGCAAGGUGGGGCCUGGUUAGUACUUGGAUGGGAGACCACCUAGGAAGACCAGGUGCUGUAGGCA